GAGUCGACCACUUUCAAAACAGUAUCGCUUGCAAACGUUGAUUUUUGACUUGACCCGCCCCUAAUUUGUUGACCAAUGAGAAACAAAGAUCCUUUUUUUGUAAAGUAGCUGUCAUUGUUCACAAUCUUUACGUAGCUUGCACGUGUUUUGUCUAGUCUAGUCAGUUGCAUCUUGCGCAUCUAAAACGCACCACGUGUCUUAACCGUCGCAAUCAUGGAUCACGGCAAUUUGUCAACGUAUGUGCGAAACCGUAUAAUUUCUUUAAGAGAAGAAGGAUAUAAUAUUAGUCAAAUCUCGGAAGAAUUACAAAUUACGAGAGAAUCAGCACGCCGCUGGAUUCAUCGCUACGACGGAGAAGCAAGUUUAGAAAAUCAACCCCGUCCCCAACCGCAACGCAUUAUUGCUGGCCAGCGUUUGGACCAACUGAUCGCCACCUAUGAAGAGCAUCCAUUUACGCCUAUUCAGCACUUUGCGGCGGCAUUUGAUUGUUCUCCGCAAACCGUGCGAAACGCUCUUCAUAGGGUCGGCAUCCACCACCGAAAGCCGGCAAAAAAAAUUGUUUUGACACGUAAAAAAAACAGCGCGCGUCAAUUUCGCUCGAGAUAUGAGGGAUUUUGAUUUUACACAUGCCAUAUUUUCCGACGAGAAGUCUUUUAAGUCGAGCCAGGUGGGCCGCAAGAAUUUAUGGCGUGUGGAUAAUACACGAUACGACCCGCGGAAUGUGGUCCCAUGUUUAGAGUCAGGAAGAGUUGUAGUUAACAUGUGGGCGUGGAUGAGUGCAGCUGGUCCGGGAGAGCUCGUAUAUUUACCCGAGAGGGCCAAUGGCGCGAGUUAUCUGGAGGUUCUGCAGGACACAAUGGUGCCGUCAGUGAGGACAGUGUAUCCGGAAGAAGACGUGCCUGAAGUAAUAUUCAUACACGACAACUGCCCUAUACACAAAUGUCGCCUGGUGCAAAAUUGGCUUCAACAGAAACCCAGUGGCAUUAAAGCAAUACCAUGGCCCUCGCGCUCUCCGGAUCUCAAUCCCAUUGAAAAUAUUUGGUCCGUAAUGGUCCAACGCUGGGAUACGAGAUCCGAAAGGACCAAAAACUUUUUGUGUGCAUUGUGCAAUAAAGUUUAAAAUAAGUAAUAAACUGUUUAUUCUGUUUGCAGCGGAAUUAAUACGCCACCACCGUCAUCGCCGGACGGUGUAACACCACCGCCGACACCGGAGGCGUCGACUUCUUCGGCGAGCGAACUGGACUCGCCGCCGAGGUCACCUACACUGCCGCCAACACCACCACCUGACCUUUUGGCGGCUGUGAUAUGGUGGCCACCGGCUCCUCUGCAGGAGCGGAGGAACAGCGCUCCUUUUUAAUUUACUAUGGGACCACAAUUAAAUAAUAAAACAGUUC